rnacentral:rRNA from 1 species
CCUACGGGAGGCAGCAGUGAGGAAUAUUGGUCAAUGGGCGAGAGUCUGAACCAGCCAAGUAGCGUGAAGGAUGACUGCCCUAUGGGUUGUAACCUUCUUUUAUAAAGGAGUAAAACGCGGCACGUGUGCCUUUUUGCAUGUACUUUAUGAAUAAGGAUCGGCUAACUCCGUGCCAGCAGCCGCGGUAAUACGGAGGAUCCGAGCGUUAUCCGGAUUUACUGGGUUUAAAGGGAGCGUAGAUGGGUUGUUAAGUCAGUUGUGAAAGUUUGCGGCUCAACCGUAAAAUUGCAAUUGAUACUGGCAGUCUUGAGUACAGGUGAGGUAGGCGGAAUUCGUGGUGUAGCGGUGAAAUGCUUAGAUAUCACGAAGAACCCCGAUUGCGAAGGCAGCUUACUAAACUGUGACUGACAUUGAUGCUCGAAAGUGUGGGUAUCAAACAGGAUUAGAUACCCCUGUAGUC